rnacentral:rRNA from 1 species
UGAGGAAUAUUGGGCAAUGCCCGAAAGGGUGACCCAGCAACGCCGCGUGGAGGAUGAAGGUCGUAAGAUUGUAAACUCCUGUUAGAGGGGAAGAAUAACUAAGUUUGGAGCUUAGUAUGACUGUACCCUCAGAGAAAGCCCCGGCUAACUACGUGCCAGCAGCCGCGGUAAUACGUAGGGGGCAAGCGUUGUCCGGAUUUACUGGGUGUAAAGGGCGCGCAGGCGGAAUGGAAAGUCAGUGGUGAAAUCCUACAGCUUAACUGUAGAACUGCCUUUGAUACUUUCAUUCUUGAGUUCGGAAGAGAGAGACGGAAUUCCAGGUGUAGUGGUGAAAUACGUAGAUAUCUGGAAGAACACCAGUUGCGAAGGCGGUCUCUUGGUCCGAUACUGACGCUGAGGCGCGAAAGCGUGGGGAGCAAACA